rnacentral:ncRNA from 1 species
AUCAGGUCCGUCCGCCACGCGGGCGUGGCCAGGCCGGCGCCUUUCGCGAAUCCGGUCCGACGCCCGUCGAUAACCUGGCGUCAUG